AGUGAACGCUGGCGGUAGGCCUAACACAUGCCAGUCGAACGGCAGCACAGUAAGAGCUUGCUCUUACGGGUGGCGAGUGGCGGACGGGUGAGGAAUACAUCGGAAUCUACUUUUUCGUGGGGGAUAACGUAGGGAAACUUACGCUAAUACCGCAUACGACCUACGGGUGAAAGCAGGGGAUCUUCGGACCUUGCGCGAUUGAAUGAGCCGAUGUCGGAUUAGCUAGUUGGCGGGGUAAAGGCCUACCAAGGCGACGAUCCGUAGCUGGUCUGAGAGGAUGAUCAGCCACACUGGAACUGAGACACGGUCCAGACUCCUACGGGAGGCAGCAGUGGGGAAUAUUGGACAAUGGGCGCAAGCCUGAUCCAGCCAUACCGCGUGGGUGAAGAAGGCCUUCGGGUUGUAAAGCCCUUUUGUUGGGAAAGAAAAGCAGCAGGUUAAUACCCCGCUGUUCUGACGGUACCCAAAGAAUAAGCACCGGCUAACUUCGUG
rnacentral:rRNA from 1 species